AACUCAUUAAGAGGAGAUUUUUUUGUAUGUUACGUAACACGCGCUCAAAACUAAUGCGUAUAAUAUACCACUUGAGGUUAUGACUAAAUUCAAAAUUUUUAUUUUUCGAUACGUUUCUCAAUCGGCAAACAAACUUAAAAAGUAUGUUUAGUGCUUUAUCUGUAAAAUAAUGCUAAAAUGAAGAGAUUUUAGAUGAUACGCUAAAGAGAAAAUGAUGUCUGAAGUUCAGUACGUU